AUGCUGCACAUGUUGGACACCAAGAUUAACUGGUCUUGGUCCACAGCUGUUUGGAGUUCUUUGUGCCAUAGUUCCGUCCAGCACCUACAAAAUGAAGAGAAAACAUUGUUGCUGAGGUAUAUUUGGUCAUCCACAAGAAAGGAAUCUUCCAUACUGCUACAGGAUUGCUGUUACAAACAUGAGAAGAGAGAAAAGAAAAUCAGAUCUAGAACAAAUCACAGAAGAGAAGACGGGGGGAAACGUGGGAGGGGGAGAAAAUUAGAGAAGAGAUCAGACGCCCUUACACUAGUGAGUUUCUCCAUGCUUGUGGGCAUGGGGUUUUGCCUGGGUUCAGUCAAAAAGUAG
rnacentral:rRNA from 1 species